UUUCCUACGGGACGCAGCAGUGAGGAAUAUUGGUCAAUGGGCGAGAGCCUGAACCAGCCAAGUCGCGUGAAGGAUGACGGCCCUACGGGUUGUAAACUUCUUUUGUCAGGGAGCAAUUGGGUCCACGCGUGGGCUUAGCGAGAGUACCUGAAGAAAAAGCAUCGGCUAACUCCGUGCCAGCAGCCGCGGUAAUACGGAGGAUGCGAGCGUUAUCCGGAUUUAUUGGGUUUAAAGGGAGCGUAGGCCGGUCUUUAAGCGUGCCGUGAAAUUUUGUGGCUCAACCAUGAGAGUGCGGCGCGAACUGG
rnacentral:rRNA from 1 species